GACGAACGCUGGCGGCGUGCCUAAUACAUGCAAGUCGAGCGAGCGAACCUAACAGAUUUACUUCGGUAAUGACGUUAGGAAAGCGAGCGGCGGAUGGGUGAGUAACACGUGGGGAACCUGCCCCAUAGUCUGGGAUACCACUUGGAAACAGGUGCUAAUACCGGAUAAGAAAGCAGAUCGCAUGAUCAGCUUUUAAAAGGCGGCGUAAGCUGUCGCUAUGGGAUGGCCCCGCGGUGCAUUAGCUAGUUGGUAAGGUAAAGGCUUACCAAGGCGAUGAUGCAUAGCCGAGUUGAGAGACUGAUCGGCCACAUUGGGACUGAGACACGGCCCAAACUCCGACGGGAGGCAGCAGUAGGGAAUCUUACACAAUGGACGCAAGUCUGAUGGAGCAACGCCGCGUGAGUGAAGAAGGUUUUCGGAUCGUAAAGCUCUGUUGUUGGUGAAGAAGGAUAGAGGUAGUAACUGGCCUGUAUUUGACGGUAAUCAACCAGAAAGUCACGGCUAACUACGUG
rnacentral:rRNA from 1 species